AUCAAUUAGUCCAGGCACAUUGACACAAGCCCCUGGAUUUUGCAACGUGAUGGCGGUGUUUGACAACUACCAUUCUGCUUUAGCUUUCCUCCAGAAUACCUGCCUUGCAUUGGCCCUGGGUAAAUGUUUCCCUUGGCUGUGAAUAGGCAAUUAAAAUUCUGAACCUUUUAUGGCUCUGGAAGCUUAUCCGAUGAAACAAUACUCAUCCAGGCGGAUGGCCCACCAGCGCAAAGGGCUGAGGCCGCUGUAAGCCAAGGUACGCAACGCUUGCUAAACAGGAAUCCCUGGAAUGAAUCCAUGCAUGAGGCCUUUGUGCCAUGUGACAGUUGAAGGCUGUGGUGACCCCGGAACCGUCCCACUCCGAGACGCCUUAACACCGUUUUUCUGCUGUUACAAACCACAGAGCAACGCGUGUGCCUCCUCCCGCCCUGGGGACUCUUUCUGUGGGAGAGGUGCCUGGAUUUAGAGGAGCGACCACUCUUCAUUUGUAGGUACUCUCCCUAGCCUGGGAGCCCUUCAGCUCCCACUCCAGAGUGGUUGUUGGUGGUAAUACGCCAGGCCUGGGGAAGCAGGAGUGGGAAGGUGUGAGAGGUGGGGGAGUGUGGUUGUCAACUGUUCUGAUUUUCCACCAGGAUCUUGGUCACUUUCCCAGUUGUCACUCGGCCCACAAACUAGGAUGUGAGCAGCAUAUUAAGAAUCUGCAGAGAUGUUCCCGUCUGCCCGGCAUAUGGAUGUCCUUCUGGGCUGCAAAGUGGCAUCCUGUGGGCAACUCCCCCCACAACAACCAGCUGCCAGCUCUGGGGAUUUGGGCAGCAGAUUUGGGGUUGACAGCAGAAUGACAUGAUCACCAGUUGACCUUGGCCAGGAUGCCAGCUUACUUUCUCGCUUACUUCUGCAGGUUCUUUGUUCUGCGG
rnacentral:lncRNA from 1 species